GACGAACGCUGGCGGCGUGCUUAAAACAUGCAAGUCGAACGGGCGAGGGGUCGGCACUAAGCAAUCUUUAUUAAGUUUGUUUAGUGCUGAUCUUGAGCUAGUGGCGGACGGGUGAGUAACGCGUGAGCAACCUGCCUUUUACUGGGGGAUAACACAGAGAAAUUUGUGCUAAUACCGCAUGAGACCACAACCUGGCAUCGGGAAGGGGUCAAAGGAGUAAUCCGGUAAUAGAGGGGCUUGCGUCUCAUUAGCUUGUUGGUGGGGUAACGGCCUACCAAGGCGACGAUGAGUAGCCGAUCUGAGAGGAUGAACGGCCACACUGGAACUGAGAAACGGUCCAG
rnacentral:rRNA from 1 species